rnacentral:rRNA from 1 species
UACGAAGGGGGCUAGCGUUGCUCGGAAUCACUGGGCGUAAAGGGUGCGUAGGCGGGUCUUUAAGUCAGGGGUGAAAUCCCGGGGCUCAACCCCGGAACUGCCUUUGAUACUGGCAUUCUCGAGUCCGGAAGAGGUGAGUGGAAUUCCGAGUGUAGAGGUGAAAUUCGUAGAUAUUCGCAAGAACGCCAGUGGCGAAGGCGGCUCACUGGCCCGGUACUGACGCUGAGGUGCGAAAGCGUGGGGAGCAAACAGG